AACAGCUCCCAGGACCCCCAUCUGCAAAUGCUAAGCCAGCACUGAAUCUUAGCUUCUUCCCAAAGUAGUUCCCAAAUGCACAGUUGGCACCAGAAUCACACCAGCCAGUGCAACGGACUCUCCUCAGCAGUUCCCUAGUUUGAGGGAUGUUGGCUUUCGGACAAAAGUGCCAUUGACAACGUGAAGUUACCUGUGGAGGCCAGGAUCCCUGAAGGUCGCCUCCCACUGUGGGACGAUUUGGUUCUGCGUGUGGCCCUUGCUGGUGUUGGUGCAGCAUGAGGUGACCAUGACUGAAAGAAUGCCCCGGAUGCGCACUAUGCUCGGAUCAGAAGGAACCCUAGAAGGCGGUGACCACGGCUCCUGAGGAAUCUCUGGUUUCAGCCCCAGUUGGAAGCUGCCCAUUACAACAUGGAGUUGGGUUAUAGUCUGAACUAAUCAAGAGAACUCGGAAGGUGGGCGCAGCUCAUUAAUCUGCUUGGGCUCGUUCCUGAAUGUUCGGAGCCCUGGAGUGUUAGCUAUUUUUGUGUACUCUUGAGUGAGCAAAUAAAGAGAGGAGAUCAGCUUCUACGAGCUUACGGGGAUUUGAUAUACAACGAGAGGUUUUUGUGACAGCAUGACAGAAACGUUCCCUGUGUGAAGUCUGGUCCUCUGCGAAGCAAGGAGCAAGAGAGCAUCCUGUGUGCAGGGGACCCGUAUGGCAGCGUCUGUGGUGGGAGUGUGCUGGACACAGUAAGAAAGGGCGUGCGGAUGCCCACGAUGGCAGGAAGGCCCUCGUCCUGAGCAUGGCCAUCCCCCUCCCUGUCUGGGAGAGCCCAGGGACACAUGAGCUUGGCACAGUCACCAUGCAGAUAUCAAAGUGCAACAGCUAAAGCUGACCUGUCCCCGGGGCCCCCAGCCACUGGCACUCUUGCGGGCGGACCCAGGCAGUGCACCUCAGUGUCUGUGAGGACCCCCCUCCACCGCACAGACCGGCUUCUCCUGCAUGCCUGGGAAGCACCUCUCAUCGGCCUCGUGAGCUGCUUCUCCUGAUGGGGGACAGAGGAGCUUCUGGAAGCCUGGGCAUUCCUCGGCUGGUGACCACGUCCCUCCCAGCCCUGCCACCUCUGUUCUCACAUGUCACUGGGUCUCGCCUCCCCUUCUUACAAGGACACCAAUCCUAUUGGAUUAAAGCCCACCCGAAUCCAGUGAGACCUCAUCUUCAGCUGCUUGCAUCUGCAGAAACACUGUUUCCAAGCAUGGGACAACACUCCUGUCUGGACGCUGGGCUUCUCGCACUGUGUGAUGACCUUGCUACCAAAGGAAUCCAGUAGAAUUAUAAAUUCAUUAAGGGAUGAAAAAUGACCUGAAACUACUGAGUUAGGUCUCUUGCCUGGGAUCAGAGCUGCUCUGUCAGCCUCUCUAUCUGCUGCCUUAAGAACGGCAUAGAUCCCAUAGCUUUUAC